AUCAUUUUAGGUUCAUAAGCAUGACAAUUGGGUGUUCAUACUGUUGAGAUGUGCUUACCUUCAAACCUUGUUAGUAUGUCAGCAUGUUACCUGUGAUA
ensembl:snoRNA